rnacentral:tRNA from 1 species
GCCGAUGUGGUGGAAUUGGUAGACACGCUAUCUUGAGGGGGUAGUGGCGUAAGCCGUGCCGGUUCAACUCCGGCCAUCGGCA